GUCACCCAAACAGCUCAGUUGGGAGAGCGUUAGAGUAUAGAUCGAAAGGUCCCUGGUUCGAUCCCGGGAUGCGACA
rnacentral:tRNA from 1 species